rnacentral:rRNA from 1 species
AAGUCGUAACAAGGUUUCAUCUAGUGACAGAUUCUUCUGUAAUCUACGGAGACCGUGCAACCCUCUAGGGAGGCAGCCCGACUAUAAAGAAAGUUGACCGUUUGCAAGUUGGUUUACCAGCAACACAAUCGAAUUGCGGGGAUCUCCUAAAGCCCGAGGCACCAUUCUACCGUUGAAAGACGGUAGCGACCGGUAAAAGCCCGAGGGAUAUACAAUGGACAAUCCGCAGCGAAGACCCUAAAGGCAUUGCCCAUGGGUAGCGUUCACAGACUAAGUGAUUGUGGGUAGUUUACUACUUAAGAUAUAGCCGAGUUACAGUGGUUAACACCCUGUAGAUACGUCCGUAGGUGAACCUGCGGAAGGAUCAUUACAGAGUUCAUGCCCUCACGGGUAGAUCUCCACCCUUGAAUAAUACUAUUGUUGCUUUGGCGGAUCGCUUCGGCUAUCGACUUCGGUUGGUAUGUAUCCGCCAGAGAACCACAAACUUUGAAUUACAGUGUCGUCUGAGUACUAUAUAAUAGUUANNCUUUCAACAACGGAUCUCUUGGUUCUGGCAUCGAUGAAGAACGCAGCGAAAUGCGAUAAGUAGUGUGAAUUGCAGAAUUCAGUGAAUCAUCGAAUCUUUGAACGCACAUUGCGCCCCUUGGUAUUCCGGGGGGCAUGCCUGUUCGAGCGUCAUUAUAACCCUCAAGCCUAGCUUGGUGUUGGAGCAUGCUAUCUAGCAGCUUUUAAAAUCAGUGGCAGUGCCUUCCGGCUCUAAGCGUAGUAAUUCUUCUCGCUAUAGAAACCGGUUGGUCCGCGCCAGAACCCCCAAUUUUCUAUGGUUGACCUCGGAUCAGGUAGGGAUACCCGCUGAACUUAAGCAUAUCAAUAAGCGGAGGAAAAGAAACCAACAGGGAUUACCUCAGUAACGGCGAGUGAAGCGGUAAAAGCUCAAAUUUGAAAUCUGGCUCUUUUAGGGUCCGAGUUGUAAUUUGUAGAAGAUGCUUUGGGUGUGGCUCCGGUCUAAGUUCCUUGGAACAGGACGUCAUAGAGGGUGAGAAUCCCGUAUGUGAUCGGUGGCCUUCGCCCGUGUAAAGCUCUUUCGACGAGUCGAGUUGUUUGGGAAUGCAGCUCAAAAUGGGUGGUAAAUUUCAUCUAAAGCUAAAUAUGGGCCAGAGACCGAUAGCGCACAAGUAGAGUGAUCGAAAGAUGAAAAGCACUUUGGAAAGAGAGUUAAACAGUACGUGAAAUUGUUGAAAGGGAAGCGCUUGCAAUCAGACUUGUAUGUAGUUGAUCAUCUAGUGUUCUCACUGGUGCACUCUGCUAUAUUCAGGCCAGCAUCGGUUUCGGUAGUUGGAUAAAGGUCUUAGGAAUGUAGCUCCUCUCGGGGAGUGUUAUAGCCUUCGAUGCAAUGCAGCCUACCGGGACCGAGGACCGCGCUUCGGCUAGGAUGCUGGCGUAAUGGUUGUAAGCGACC